rnacentral:lncRNA from 1 species
AGAAACUCUCAAUCUGGGAUGUACUAAUUCCUCACAUUUGCUUCAAGAGCUUCUCCACUUAUGUGCUGUGGAUAUCCCUGGCUAUUGUAAAGAGAUUGAGUUCUUGAUUUGAUUCUCCGCUUGAACGCUGUUGGUGUAUUCAACAGUCUAAGAAAGGAGUUACAGUGUUGACUGAGGUGAUUGACCCAGACUAUCAAGAUGAAAUCAGUCUAUUGCUCCACAGUGGAGGACUUUGAAAAACAUAAUUUUCUGAAAAUGUUGUGGAAACCCAAAAUAAUAAUAAUAACCUUACAGCAGUAUCAUAAAGAAUGGGAGAAAAAAAGUGUGCUAUCCCUCUCCUCCUCCUCCCCAUUUCCCUCUCCAGCUCCUGUUUUCCGGUCCUGAAAAAUAAUCCUGGAACUUAUUAAUAAGAGGAAGUCAAAUUCUACCACAAUGUUUUUAAGACACUGUCUCUUUCCCCAACUGGCUAAUAAACUCAUGUAGAACAUAGAUUAUCCCUAUUCAUCUUUACAUCCAAGUGACUAUUAAACUAAAGGAACACAAGGGUUUGAUGAAAAAGCAAGAAUCUAGUGACUCUCUUGUGAAAAAUGUAUAUAAACUCUGAUCUUCAUGGGUUCCCUCAACAGUUAAACUAUUCUUCUGUGUUUUGCGUAUUUUUGUCUGAUUUUUGUUUGUUUAUUUCUAAAACAAGUUAGCUCUAUGAGACAGAGAAUGAAUUUCUUCAAUAGGCUCUUUGUGUUUAUGAAGGUAGGUGCAUAAACAUAUUAGCUGGCCACUGAAAAUAUCUCCUAAAUUAGAAUUCUUAAAUAACUGAGUAAACAUGAAAGUUUUAAUGACUUUUUUCUUAAUAUAUAUUACAAUUAUUAUAAUAUUAAAUUAAAAAUAUUAUUUGAAUUCUUCACAGAAUACCAAAAAUAAUUAUUUUUAAAUAUUGCUAUAUACAUACAUUUUUAAAUAUCAUAAAUUAUUUUCAAAAGAUUGUCAUAAAAAUAUUAGAGUAAAAUAUGUAUGAUCACUAUUUCUAAGAAAAUCAAAUUGAUCCAAGUACAUUAAUAAGUAAAACCAUGAAUCAAUAUACAAGAGUAGAAUUAGCUGUGGUAAAUAUGUCAUAUCCCAAUAUAUGCAUAAUUUAAAGUUAUUUUUUGGGAGGUGAAAAUAAUGAUACAUAAAUAGUAUUUACUAAUGUAUUCAUAUAAAUUUCAAAAUUUGGAAAUAUUGUUAAAUUGCCUCCUUUUUUUAAAAUGUGAUAAAGUUAGUAAGUUCUUCUACACCAUUUAUAUUAUAUGUCAUAACUCUGUUUUGGUAGAGAUGUUAUAAUUUCAGUAUAGAAUCUCUUAGUAAAGAGUUGAUAAUUUAGUUAUAUAGGUCUGACAUUAAAAAGUCCCAUCAUAAAAUUCUUAUAAAUGUUUUUUCACACUUCAGAGAAAGGCAAGAAAUAUAAUUCUUAAUUUCAACAGUGUGGUAAUAUCUAGACUCUUUGUAUAACAUGCAUUAAAAUGCAGGUGUUGCACAGCUAGCUAGGGGACCUCAUGAUAAUACAAAAAGCUUAUGAAUUGCAGUGAGAAACAUUUAGCUAUCACCAGAAUUUUAAUUAUCCCUAAAACAUAUUGACAUUUUUUGAUAUUGGUCUUGAGAUUGACUGCUGUCACUUCCAAUAAAAUAUUAUUUGGUAAACUCAACUGAAUUAUUAUCAAAAUUGAUGAGGCAUUUGAUUUAGUGUUUAAAU